AUACGUAGGGUGCGAGCGUUGUCCGGAAUUACUGGGCGUAAAGAGCUCGUAGGUGGUUUGUCGCGUCGUCUGUGAAAUUCCGGGGCUUAACUCCGGGCGUGCAGGCGAUACGGGCAUAACUUGAGUACUGUAGGGGAGACUGGAAUUCCUGGUGUAGCGGUGAAAUGCGCAGAUAUCAGGAGGAACACCGGUGGCGAAGGCGGGUCUCUGGGCAGUAACUGACGCUGAGGAGCGAAAGCAUGGUAGCGAACAGGAUUAGAUACCCUGGUAGUCCAUGCUGUAAACGGUGGGCGCUAGGUGUAGGGGUCUUCCACGACUUCUGUGCCGUAGCUAACGCAUUAAGCGCCCCGCCUGGGGAGUACGGCCGCAAGGCUAAAACUCAAAUGAAUUGACGGGG
rnacentral:rRNA from 1 species